AAAAAGUAAAAACCACACUUGAAUAUUUUAUAAACUACAAAAUGGAAUGACCUCUCAUUAGAUCAAUAAAAGUAGCAAAACACAGUUGUCGAUAAAUGAAAGUAGCAAAAAAAUAGUAGAAAAAAAAACAAAAACAAACAAAUACACUCCUCCAAAAAAGUAAAAAGUAAAAAUAAAAGUAGUCAAAUAAGAAAGGGUAAAGGAAGUUUCAAAAAAAAAA
rnacentral:lncRNA from 1 species